rnacentral:rRNA from 1 species
AUUGAACGCUGGCGGCAGGCUUAACACAUGCAAGUCGGACGGUAACAGGGAGGAAGCUUGCUUUCUUUGCUGACGAGUGGCGGACGGGUGAGUAAUGCUUGGGAAUCUGUUUUAUGGAGGGGGAUAACUACGGGAAACUGUAGCUAAUACCGCGUAAUAUCGAGAGAUUAAAGUGUGGGACCGUAAGGCCACAUGCCAUAGAGUGAGCCCAAGUGGGAUUAGGUAGUUGGUGGGGUAAAGGCCUACCAAGCCGUCGAUCUCUAGCUGGUCUGAGAGGAUGACCAGCCACACUGGGACUGAGACACGGCCCAGACUCCUACGGGAGGCAGCAGUGGGGAAUAUUGCACAAUGGGCGCAAGCCUGAUGCAGCCAUGCCGCGUGAAUGAAGAAGGCCUUCGGGUUGUAAAGUUCUUUCGGUGGUGAGGAAGGUUGUAAUGUUAAUAGCAUUAUAAUUUGACGUUAGCCACAGAAGAAGCACUGGCUAACUCCGUGCCAGCAGCCGCGGUAAUACGGAGGGUGCGAGCGUUAAUCGGAAUAACUGGGCGUAAAGGGCACGCAGGCGGAUACUUAAGUGAGGUGUGAAAGCCCUGGGCUUAACCUAGGAAUUGCAUUUCAUACUGGGUAUCUAGAGUAUUUUAGGGGGGGGUAGAAUUCCACGUGUAGCGGUGAAAUGCGUAGAGAUGUGGAGGAAUACCGAAGGCGAAGGCAGCCCCUUGGGGGAAUACUGACGCUCAUGUGCGAAAGCGUGGGGAGCAAACAGG